AUAUCAAUAAGCGGAGGAAAAGAAACCAACAGGGAUUGCCUCAGUAACGGCGAGUGAAGCGGCAAUUGCUCAAAUUUAAAAUCUGACUUCUUUUGGGGUCCGAAUUGUAAUUUGUAGAGGAAGCUUCGGUAAAGAUAUUGACUCAAGUCCCCUGGAAUGGGAUGUCAUAGAGGGUGAGAACCCCGUUCAGUUAAAUAUCUAAACCAUGUGUUGCUCCUUCGACGAGUCGAGUUGUUUGGGAAUGCAGCUCAAAAUUGGUGGUAAAUUCCAUCUAAGGCUAAAUAUUGGCCAGAGACCGAUAGCGCACAAGUA
rnacentral:rRNA from 1 species